GACGAACGCUGGCGGCGUGCUUAACACAUGCAAGUCGAACGGAAAGGCCCUGCUUUUGUGGGGUUCUCGAGUGGCGAACGGGUGAGUAACACGUGAGUAACCUGCCCUUGACUUUGGGAUAACUUCAGGAAACUGGGGCUAAUACCGGAUAGGAGCUCCUGCUCCAUGGUGUGGGUUGGAAAGUUUCGGCGGUUGGGGAUGGACUCGCAGCUUAUCAGCUUGUUGGUGGGGUAGUGACUUACCAAGGCUUCGACGGGUAGCCGGCCUGAGAGGGUGAACGGCGACCUGGGGACUGAGGUACGGCGCAGACUGCUACGGGACGCAGCAGUCGGGAAUAUUGCAGAAUGGGCGGAAGCCUGAUGCGGCGACGCCGCGUGCGGGAUGCCGGCCUUCGGGUUGUAAACCGAUUUGGCAUGUAACGAAGCGUGAGUGACGGUAAUGGGUAAAGAAGCAACGGCUAACUACGUG
rnacentral:rRNA from 1 species